rnacentral:rRNA from 1 species
UACGUAGGGUCCAAGCGUUAUCCGGAAUUACUGGGCGUAAAGAGUUGCGUAGGUGGCAUAGUAAGUAGAUAGUGAAAGCGUGUGGCUCAACCAUACAUCCAUUAUCUAAACUGCUAAGCUUGAGGACGAGAGAGGUAGAUGGAAUUCCUGAUGUAGGGGUAAUAUCCGUAGAUAUCAGGAGGAACACCGAUGGCGUAAGCAGUCUACUGGCUCGUUCCUGACACUAAGGCACGAAAGCGUGGGGAGCAAACAGG